AUUCUGCGUGAAGGAUGAAGCCUUGUGGGGUGUAAACUUCUUUUCUGGGAGAAGACGAAUGACGGUAUCUCAGGAAUAAGAGACGGCUAACUACGUGCCAGCAGCCGCGGUAAUACGUAGGUCUCGAGCGUUAUCCGGAAUUACUGGGCGUAAAGCGUCUGUAGCCGGAUGUAUAAGUCUGUCUUUAAAUACUCUGAUUCAAUCGGAGAAAAGGGAUAGAUACUGUAUAUCUAGAGGAUUUUAGAGGUUAGUGGAAUUUCCGGUGGAGCGGUGAAAUGCGUUGAUAUCGGAAGGAAUGCCGAAAGCGAAAGCAGCUAACUAUAAAAUAUCUGACGGUCAGAGACGACAGCUUGGGGAGCGAACGGGAUUAGAUACCCCGGUAGUCCAAGCCGUAAAUGAUGCUUGCUAGAUGUUUGUCUCGCUAUGCGGGAUGAGUGUCGUACCUAACGGGUUAAGCAAGCCGCCUGGGAAGUAUACUCGCAAGAGUGAAACUCAAAGGGAUAGGCGGGGGAACACACAAGCAGUGGAUUAUCUAGAUUAAUUGGAUAAUAAGCCAAGAAUCUUACCUAGACUUGACAUACAUUGUGUCAUAUAAGAAAUUAUGUUAUUCCUAGCAAUAGGAAGCUAUGUACAGGUGGUGCAUGGUCGUCGUCAGCUCGUGCCGCAAGGUGUCUAGUUAAGUCUAGUAACGAGCGCAACCCUCGUCGUAUGUUAGAAUGUCAUACGAGACUGCUUCGGUAACAAAGAGGAAGGAGAGGAUGAUGUCAGAUCCUCAUGCCCCUUAUGUCUAGGGCGUCAUAGAUAAUACAAUGGGUAGGACAAUGCGAGGCAAUAUCGUGAGAUGGAGCAAAACGCGAAACCUAUC
rnacentral:rRNA from 1 species